rnacentral:lncRNA from 1 species
CUCCUCCCCGUGGAUGUAGGCCUUUUGUGCCGAACCACGUAAAUCUUGAUUCUUUAUCUUUGUUUAUUUAUGCCUGCAAUAUGUUUGAUGAAUUAUCUCAAAGAAAUUAGAUAUUAGAUCACAAGCCUAGAUCGAUCCUAUCCGGUGCGCGUUGCUUCAACAAUUGGUAUCAGAGCACUUGGAUGGCUGGUGACAAGAAAUCAAGUUUCUCAAUGGCUAAUGAUCCGGUGUCUGUCUUUC